CAGGAUGGAGAUUAACUAAUAAAGAAAGCAUCUGAAGCAUAGAAAAGCGUAACUUAAAUAACAAAGUAAAACCACCGCAAGGUAAUCAAUAUAACUUUGUAUAGUACUAAGGCAUCAAUAUAACUUUGUAUAGUACUAAGGCCUAAUGAUAUCAGAUAAUCCAAAUGAAAAAAAAAAUCAUUGUACUGCACUUAACAAAGUGACAAGUUAUAAAAAGGACAGACCAAAUGUAUGACACAAUUAUGUAUUCACUAAUCUUUAUUUAUAUUUGACAACCUACGCAUGACAUAG
rnacentral:lncRNA from 1 species